UCGAGCCGCUGGGGAUUCGUCCCAGGCGAGCGCCCGCCAGAGUUAAACCAAACUCUUGUUAUUUAACCGGUCGUCUGAGUUAAAAUUUUGAAUAAAUCAAAACUUUCAACAACGGAUCUCUUGGUUCUCGCAUCGAUGAAGAACGCAGCGAAAUGCGAUAAGUAAUGUGAAUUGCAGAAUUCAGUGAAUCAUCGAAUCUUUGAACGCACAUUGCGCCCCUUGGUAUUCCGAGGGGCAUGCCUGUUCGAGCGUCAUUACACCACUCAAGCUAUGCUUGGUAUUGGGCGUCGUCCUUAGUUGGGCGCGCCUUAAAGACCUCGGCGAGGCCACUCCGGCUUUAGGCGUAGUAGAAUUUAUUCGAACGUCUGUCAAAGGAGAGGAACUCUGCCGACUGAAACCUUUAUUUUUCUAGGUUGACCUCGGAUCAGGUAGGGAUACCCGCUGAACUUAAGCAUAUCAAUAAGCGGAGGAGAAA
rnacentral:rRNA from 1 species